UACGUAGGGGGCAAGCGUUGUCCGGAUUUAUUGGGCGUAAAGAGCGUGUAGGCGGCCAAACAGGCCCACUGUGAAAACUCGAGGCUCAACCUCGAGAGGUCGGUGGAAACCGUCUGGCUAGAGUCCGGAAGAGGAGAGUGGAAUUCCCGGUGUAGCGGUAGAAUGCGCAGAUAGUCGGGAAGAACACCCGUGGCGAAGGCGGGUCUCUGGGCCGAUAUUGACGCUGAGGAGCGAAAGCGUGGGGAGCGAACAGG
rnacentral:rRNA from 1 species